rnacentral:rRNA from 1 species
CAGUCGAGCGGAACGAGUUAUCUGAACCUUCGGGGGACGAUAACGGCGUCGAGCGGCGGACGGGUGAGUAAUGCCUAGGAAAUUGCCCUGAUGUGGGGGAUAACCAUUGGAAACGAUGGCUAAUACCGCAUGAUGCCUACGGGCCAAAGAGGGGGACCUUCGGGCCUCUCGCGUCAGGAUAUGCCUAGGUGGGAUUAGCUAGUUGGUGAGGUAAGGGCUCACCAAGGCGACGAUCCCUAGCUGGUCUGAGAGGAUGAUCAGCCACACUGGAACUGAGACACGGUCCAGACUCCUACGGGAGGCAGCAGUGGGGAAUAUUGCACAAUGGGCGCAAGCCUGAUGCAGCCAUGCCGCGUGUGUGAAGAAGGCCUUCGGGUUGUAAAGCACUUUCAGUCGUGAGGAAGGUGGUAGUGUUAAUAGCACUAUCAUUUGACGUUAGCGACAGAAGAAGCACCGGCUAACUCCGUGCCAGCAGC